rnacentral:rRNA from 1 species
GACGGAGGGUGCAAGCGUUAUCCGGAAUUAUUGGGCAUAAAGCGUCUGCAGGUGGCAGUUCAAGUCUGCUGUCAAAGACCGGGGCUUAACUUCGGAAAGGCAGUGGAAACUGAACAGCUAGAGUAUGGUAGGGGCAGAGGGAAUUCCUGGUGUAGCGGUGAAAUGCGUAGAGAUCAGGAAGAACAUCGGUGGCGAAGGCGGCCUGCUGGACCAUAACUGACGCUCAGGGACGAAAGCUAGGGGAGCGAAUGGG